AGCGAACGCUGGCGGCAGGCCUAACACAUGCAAGUCGAGCGCCCCGCAAGGGGAGCGGCAGACGGGAGAGUAACACGUGGGAAAGUGCCCUUCAGCUCGGAACAACCAAGGGAAACUUGGGCUAAUACCUGAUACGGCAGCAAGGAGAAAGAUUUAUCGCUGAAGGAGCUGCCCGCGUCUGAUUAGCUAGUUUGUGAGGUAACGGCUCACCAAGGCGACGAUCAGUAGCUGGUCUGAGAGGAUGAUCAGCCUGACUGGGACUGAGACACGGCCCAGACUCCUACGGGAGGCAGCAGUGGGGAAUAUUGGACAAUGGGCGCAAGCCUGAUCCAGCCAUGCCGCGUGGGUGAUGAAGGCCCUAGGGUUGUAAAGCCCUUUCGGCGGGGAAGAUAAUGACGGUACCCGCAGAAGAAGCCCCGGCUAACUUCGUGCCAGCAGCCGCGGUAAGAC
rnacentral:rRNA from 1 species